UACAGAGACUGCAAGCGUUAUUCGGAUUCACUGGGCGUAAAGGGUGCGCAGGCGGCCAAGUGUGUUAGGCGUGAAAGCCUGAGGCUUAACCUCAGAAUUGCACCUAAAACUACAUGGCUAGAGCAUUGGAGAGGGUAGCGGAAUUCACGGUGUAGCAGUGAAAUGCGUAGAUAUCGUGAGGAACACCAGAGGCGAAGGCGGCUACCUGGACAAUUGCUGACGCUCAGGCACGAAAGCGUGGGGAUCAAACAGG
rnacentral:rRNA from 1 species